GGACUUGUGUGUAGCAACCUCAACAUGUAGGUUUAGAAGUUCUGGUCAUGUUUGGUUGUGCAAAAUGUUGGGUGUCUAAGAAGCCACUGCUUGGCUGGGAAUCACCAUAUCUGAUGUUUUCCCUUUGAUCGUAUUCUCCAACCCCCAUAUGUAAUAAUAUAUAAUUGUAGUACUUGAUUUCAUUAAUAUAGUUAUUGAUGCAUAAAGAAAUGAGGGAGGUGACAAUGGAAAGUAGCACUUUAACACUUCAAUUUACAGCAUUUAAACACUUCAAUUUGCAGCACUUUAACAUAUCAAUUAACAACAUUUAUACACGUCAAUUACAAAAACAUCUCAAUUUCCAGCAACUAAACACUUCAAUUUGCAGCACUUAAACACUUCAAUUUGCAGCACUUAAACACCUCAAUUUAUAGCAUUUAAACACUUAAAUUUGCAGCACUUAAACAUAUAAAUUAACAACAUUUAUACACCUCAAUUACAGAGAUAAAACAUCUCAAUUUCCAGCAACUAAAUACUUCAAUUUGCAGCACUUAAACACUUCAAUUUACAACAUUUAAACACUUAAAUUUACAAAUCCACCAUUAAUAAAGUAGCAUCAGGAUACAGAUCCACCACCUUUUAGCACCAUUUGCAAAUUUUUUCUAAUAUUUUCAUUUUCUAAAACUCAAAUGUAACAUCCAAACCAGAUAAUGUAACAUCAAUAUAGUAGUAUGAAUUUGUAACAUCCAAAAGCAUUCACUAAAAUGCAUACUUAGGUGCUAGAUUACCUGAAAAGCAUUGAUCAUGAAAACCAGAUAAUUUGUUUUCUCUGCAAUGGUUAAUUCUCUU
rnacentral:lncRNA from 1 species